rnacentral:pre_miRNA from 1 species
UAAAAGUUAACUCAUAUUUGUAUGGAACGUUCGCGUACGUUUGCCGCUAGGGGCGCUGUUCCAACUGCAUACAAAAUUGGGUAA